GAUGAACGCUGGCGGCGUGCCUAAUACAUGCAAGUCGAGCGAACAGACGAGGAGCUUGCUCCUCUGACGUUAGCGGCGGACGGGUGAGUAACACGUGGAUAACCUACCUAUAAGACUGGGAUAACUUCGGGAAACCGGAGCUAAUACCGGAUAAUAUAUUGAACCGCAUGGUUCAAUAGUGAAAGACGGUUUUGCUGUCACUUAUAGAUGGAUCCGCGCCGCAUUAGCUAGUUGGUAAGGUAACGGCUUACCAAGGCAACGAUGCGUAGCCGACCUGAGAGGGUGAGCGGCCACACUGGAACUGAGACACGGUCCAGACUCCUACGGGAGGCAGCAGUAGGGAAUCUUCCGCAAUGGGCGAAAGCUUGACGGAGCAACGCAGCGUGAGUGAUGAAGGUCUUCGGAUCGUAAAACUCUGUUAUUAGGGAAGAACAAAUGUGUAAGUAACUAUGCACGUCUUGACGGUACCUAAUCAGAAAGCCACGGCUAACUACGUG
rnacentral:rRNA from 1 species